UCAAAAUCAGAUCAAGUUCCAGAUCUAAACAAACUACAGUUAAAUAUCUCAAGGUUUCUGCGUUUCCAAGAAAGCAAGAAGAAAAUGGAUAACUCACAGAAGGCAAGCUACAACGCUGGAGUGGCCAAGGGCCAAACUCAGGAAUAUAUCUCUCAGCCUUAGCUAGCUUGCUCUCUCUUUACCUAUUCAAUCUGCAAGUUUGUAUGUUUCUGUUUCUAGAUCUCAUUGUGUUUGGGUUUUGAUUGUUAACAGGAGAAGGCCAGCACCAUGAUGGACAAGGCAGGGAAUGCUGCACAGACCGCCAAGGAGUCGGUGCAGAAUGCUGGCCAAACGAUUGCUGCAGGAGCUGCAGGAGCUGUUGAUGCUGUCAAGAAUGCUACCGGCAUGAACAAGUGAUUGAGCUAGCUGCUGAUAUGGUGGCCGCUAUGGAUAUUUUUAAGCGUUUUUAGUCUUUGUUUAUAAAGAAGAGAAGCUCUAGUCCUCUUAGAUCGAGCUCUAGAGUUCUCAUAAUUUGGUGUGUGUUAUUUCACACACCUACUUUAAUUUGGUUCUUUGUUAAUGUUGUGUUGUUGUUCUCCUUCCUCCCAUUUGCGAUAAGGAAGAGAUCGUUCUGUCUGUUGUAGUUCUCACCUUAUGUAAUGAUAAGGUUUAUAACGAAAAAUUUCGAAAAAUUGUUGGCCAGAUACAAACGAGGUUGCUACGAUGAACAUCUACCUCCAGGAAUCGUAAUAGCUAGUUACUUGUUGCAUAGAAAAAUAGUCAUAAUAGUCUACUGAAGAUGACAAUUGGUAUAUGAAUCACGUACAUGAACAUCAGAAGCUAGCAGUUACAGUGAUGAAUCUAAGCAAUUCUUACCCGGGUGAUAAAUCUAAGCAAUUCUUACCUGGAUUUCGAUGUCAUAAUAUUUCAACAUCCACUGAUCGGUCGGAUCCUUUAUUGAGUUGUUGAUAAAUGAUAAUACACAAUGGCCAAAGGUCCUCUCAUAUAAACCUAGUAUAAAUGUCACAGUGACUAGUACAUGAAUUUGGGUCACAUAUUCUUUAGAUAUUCGGCAUGAAAAUACCAAUAAUCUUGUAGGUGCGAGUUAUAUGGGCCUACGCCAUUGAAUCCCAUAUUAAAAAUCUCAUAUUAAACACUUUGUAAUACGGCAUUGAAUCCCAUAUUAAACAAAUUAAACAUUUUGUAAACUUAGUCAUAUUCACCUAAUUAGUGACUGAACAAGAGAUUCGUGAUCAAACACUAUUAGAUUUGAAUUUAAAAGUAUGAAGAAUUAUUUUUUAGUAGAACUCAGUCAUGUUCACUUAGUCAGUGACUACUAAGCAAGAGAUUCGUGAUCAGUCACUAUUGGAUUUGAAUUCAAGGGUAGGAAAAAUUAUUUUAGGAAAAUGCUCUAAUGCCUAAAUAUUUGAAAACUAAAGCCCAUUCCAAUUAAAAUUUUAUCCUUGUGCCCAUUUCAAUGAUUUUUGAGAAAAAGACGUUAUUACUCUGUGUAACUAAACCACACAUAUCUUCUCUCUCUCUCUCNNNNNNNNNNNNNNNNNNNNNNNNNNNNNNNNNNNNNNNNNNNNNNNNNNNNNNNNNNNNNNNNNNNNNNNNNNNNNNNNNNNNNNNNNNNNNNNNNNNNNNNNNNNNNNNNNNNNNNNNNNNNNNNNNNNNNNNNNNNNNNNNNNNNNNNNNNNNNNNNNNNNNNNNNNNNNNNNNNNNNNNNNNNNNNNNNNNNNNNNNNNNNNNNNNNNNNNNNUCUUCUUCUUCUUCUUCUUCUCCUCCUCCUCCUCCUCGACAGCGAUGCUCCUAGACUCGACCGCUCACUUUCGCUGCCGUCAUUGAACAACAUCAGAGUCUCGGUUGCCUCCUCGAGUCAAAGUAGAAACAGCAGCAGUCUCAGCCGCUGUCGUUGUGGAGUCCAUUCCUCCUGCUGGUGUUAAAGUGGAAAUCCGGUGCGGCAACGCCGAGCCCUGACGUCCGUUGCUGAUCUCUGCCUCUUCAAGAUGAAACAAUAACAGCAGCAAUAUCUGUUGUUGUUAGACUCGAUCGCUCAUUUUUGUUGCCAUCAUCGAAGCGGUAACAGUAGCACAGUCGCCUCCUCGAGCCAAAGUAGAAACAACAGCAGUCUCAGUCGCCGUCGAGUCCAUUCCUCAUGCCGACGUUAAAGUGGAAAUCUGGUGCGACAACGCCGAGCCCUGACAUCUACUGCCUAUCUUCGCCUCUUCAAGAUGAAACAGUAACAGCAGCAAUAUCUGCUACCGAGGUCGUUGUCCGAGACGAUCUCCAUCUCCUCUAGUGUUUCAUUGAGAGGGUUGGGGGGCGAUAGUUUUGACGACAAGAGGCGGUGGUGGGAUUUCUUUGCCCUUAAUGAGUAAGGAUGUAUUGUUUAGUGUCAGUGGGAUUAUUGGGGUUGAUAGAGUUUUCGUUGCUAUGAACUCAAGUCAGUUAAAGUUUUUUUUUUUUUUUUAAUUCCUUACAUUUGAAUAUUGAGAUCAGUAAGUGAUUAUUAAUGAUUGAUAAGUGAUUAUUGGGGUCAGUAAGUUAUUAUUUGAGGUUUGUAAUCUGAUUAUUAAGGGCCAGUAAAUGAUUAUUGGGUGUCAGUAAGCAAUUAUUGGGUGUCAGUAACUGAUUAUUGGGGGUCAGUAACUAAGUUAUUAGGGGUCAGUAACUGAUUAUUGGAGGUCACUAACUAAUUAUUAGGGGUCAAUAAUUGAUUAUUGGGGGUCAGUAACCGAGUUACCGGUGACCAGAAUCUGGCAACCGAGGAAAUCCAGCAACCAAAGUCCGACCACCGGUGACCGGAGUCCCGCGGCCGGUGAUCGGAGUCCAGUGAGGUUCCGGCCAAUUAUUAUUUCUCUUCCACUUUCUCUCUCUAUGCAUAUUUAAAGGGUGAGGGUAAAAUAGUCUAAAAAUAAUAUGGUUUGUUAAGGCUUUAGUAAAUAUUUGUACAUUUGGGCAUAAAAAAUGUUACCUUAUAUUGAAAUGGGCUAAUAAAAAAGAUUGUCAUUGGAAUGAGAAAUAAGAGGUUUAAAUUAGUACUAAAUCAGCAUUUUCCCAAUUAUUUUUUAGUAGAUCUCAAUCAUGUUUACCUAGUCAAUGAUUAAACAAGAGAUUCGUGAUCAGUCACUAUUAGAUUUGAAUCUAAAAGUAGGAAGAAUUAUUUUUUAGUAGAGUUGUUUUGUUUUUAACAAUUAAAUGUUAAUCUAAUAGUGACUGACCUGAACUGAUCAUGUGAAUACUACUCUUUGUGAACUGAACUGGUCCUUAACUAGCGUCCACUAGCUUCUACUUUGUUCACUUCUCGGAUUUCAAACAACCCUAUCGAAAUAGAGUUGCCUUCCUUAUCAAUCACGGAAUAUAUUGUACGUGGUAACGUGGAUCACAGAAUAUCGACCAAAUUAUAUUAAUGUACGUGGAUUUUCAUAAUUUUAAUCAAUUAAUAUCCCAAAAAGUCCGCCCUAUAUUGGGUUUAGGGUUGAUCAAGGAGAAGGAUCAUCAUCAACAUCGAUUAUACAGCGCCGACUCACUAACCUAUAGAGACAGAACUACCAGACGUGUCUCUUCCAAUCUUAUUCGAGGUAAGCAAUCUCUCACUAGGGUUUAUAGAAGUAACUCUGUAUGCAAAAGAAAAGAGCUAGGGUUCGUUGCAAUUCUGAUGCACUUCGGAUAUUCUUCGUACUUCCUGGGUUUAAUAGUUGAUGUACAUCUAAUGUUUUGUAUAUUAAGAACUUUAUGCUUUGUCAAACAUGAAUCUUUGAUUUGGUGUUGAAUCCAUAUAUAGAAAGAUCUAACAAAUUUUCUUACUUUCAUAACCACUCAAAACACGUAGUUAACUAUGGAGAUUGCAAGGACUAAGCAGGAUGUGUCCAGCAGUAGCCACAGCUCAAAGCACUUCCCUACUGAAAUCCUCCUCAACAUCCUUUCUCGAGUGCCAGCAAAAUCUCUUUUUCGCUUUCGAUGCGUCUCUAAGCUUUUCUGUAAGCUAAUUAACGACUCCUCUCUAGCUGCAAUGCAUCUUCAUCACACCGAUAUGAUUGAGGAGCCAUCUCUAGUCAUGGUUCAUUCUAGGUCUGCAUCCAAAUAUUCCACAUUAAUGAUGGUUCCCAUAAUUGUUUCCCCGUAUUCCGAAUUAUCCUUUUAUGAUGGUAGUUUCUCUUCGGGGCUUUUGUCCAUUGAAACUAAAUAUGAGCUAGAGUUUGCUUCCGGUGGCUUGCUUUGCUUUAAGGACUCUAGUAAAUCAAGAGGUCCUGCCCUAUUGUGCGAUCCACUUAGGGGAGAAGCUAUAGAACUCCCACUCCCACAUUGUAAUGUCAAUGCAUUGUACCGCUGGGAAGAGUGGUACGGUUUAGGGGUGGAUGCCACUACCAGCAUCUACCGGAUUGUUAAUGUUGUUUUCAGGAUUGAUCCUCGUUCAUAUGUUGUCCAUGUUCAUGUCUUGGGAACAAGCACUUGGAAACAGAUAUCCGCAGUUCCACCUUGUGGUCUAAGUAAGCAGAACGCAUUUGCACAUGGAAACACAUAUUGGUUGAUUGGAGAACGUAUACUAUCUUUCGACUUCAAUGAAGAGAAGUUCAUAUGGAUCCCUCAACCCAACUUACCCUCUAAUAGGGUUCUUCACUUGUUUAAUUUGAAAGGAUCUCUAGCCAUUGUCGAUGCUACUUCAGUAUUAGUUACCGAAGUUGUGGUAUGGGUAUUGAAAAGUGAUGAUACGAAAGAAUUUUGGGUAAAGGACUACAACAUAAAACUCAAUGCUGGUCCAUGUCAUUGUAAUGAAUGGUGGCCUCUCAAUUGUUUUGUUCUUGUUGAUGAUUCCAGUAGUAGAAAAUGCAUUGUGGGUGUGCUCCAUUACAAUCUACGGUGGGGUUCUAGGAAACGCUUUCGUUAUGGGAAUGGAAGAGUUGAAGGGAAUUUCGUCCCCAAGAUCUUCAGUUAUACCGGAAGCCUGGUUUCUCUUAAAGAUUAUGGCAAGUUAUUGGUAGAAGGAUCCAAGGCAGAUCAAUCAAAAGCUUGGUUAUCCGGGAAUGCCAUCAGUUAGCUAAUGUAAUUUGGAUUUUUUUAUGACAUUUUCUUUAAUUUGUGUAAUCUUUCGGCUUUGAAAGACUGAACUUGUGUUUGUAAUUCAUGAGAUCAAACAAUGUCCUAAAGAUCCAUAUGUUACUGGAGAAAUGAAAUUUGUUGGCCAUUCUCGAAAGCUAAUGUCGAUAAGAAUUUCAGUAGAGGGAGGUCCAUAACUUUGUUCCUGCUGCUUGCUGCUCUUGGUCAUCGUUUCCGUCAACAUAAGCCAAGUUACCCAAACUCGUUAACGAGGACUUGAUGAACUAUACAGAUCAAUGGAACUUUUGUUAUAAAUUUAGAAGAUUUUUGAUAGUUUUGCUUUGCUUGGUUAGUAUGUAUUUGACUCUUGCUCUAAUCAAAGCUGUAUGUAAACGACAGAUUACUACUUACAUAAGGGAAUUGGAUUUGGAAUUUCUCCUAUCCACCUGGUAGUCAAAUUUAGAGAAUAGUUAGGCUAUAUGUGUUCCUCAUAUUGUUCUUGUACAUUGACUUCCAGAUGUCACUGUAAUGUCGAGCACCGUACCUCCAGCAUUUGCAAUUUCUUCCUUUCAACACAGCUUAGCCGUAGGAAUAGCACAAGUACCUGAAAUAGACUUCCACAUCUCCUACACAUGUCGAGUACCGGUUUAACUGCGAAUGCUAUAUAAAGCAUUCUCAAUUGGUAACAUAUCCAUCAUCAGGGAACUGAAUUGAAUCUCAAGCAAUACAGUCGGAUUAUCUCAAAGUGUUCUAAUUUCCAAGAGAAGCAAGAAGAAAUGGCUGACAACUCCCAGAAGAUGAGCUACCACGCUGGUGAGGCCAAGGGCCAAGCUCAGGUACGUACUCUACUAGUAGCCAGCACCUGUUUUUGUUCUAAAUUGUUUUUGGUCUAGUUCUGAUGGAUUGGUGAACGUAUACCAGGAGAAGGCUAACACAAUGAUGG
rnacentral:lncRNA from 1 species